rnacentral:rRNA from 1 species
AUUGAACGCUGGCGGCAGGCCUAACACAUGCAAGUCGAACGAGUGGCGGACGGGUGAGUAAUGUCUGGGACACCGCCUGAUGGAGGGGGAUAACUACUGGAAACUGUAGCUAAUACCGCAUACCCUUGUAUGCGCCCAGAGGGGAUUCGCUAGUAGGUGGGGUAAAGGCUCACCUAGGCGACGAUCCCUAGCUUGUCUGAGAGGAUGACCAGCCACACUGGAACUGAGACACGGUCCAGACUCCUACGGUAGGCAGCAGUGGGGAAUAUUGAACAAUGGGCGCAAGCCUGAUGCAGCCAUGCCGCGUGUAUGAAGAAGGCCUUCGGGUUGUAAAGUACUUUCAGCGGGGAGGCGUUACCCGCAGAAGAAGCACCGGCUAACUCCGUGCCAGCAGCCGCGGUAAUUC